GACGAACGCUGGCGGCGUGCUUAACACAUGCAAGUCGAACGGAAAGGCCCUGCUUUUGUGGGGUGCUUGAGUGGCGAACGGGUGAGUAACACGUGAGUAACCUGCCCUUGACUUUGGGAUAACUUCCGGAAACUGGGGCUAAUACCGGAUAGGAGCUCCUGCUGACUGGUGGGGGUGGGAAAGUUUCGGUGGUUGGGGAUGGACUCGUGGCUUAUCAGCUUGUUGGUGGGGUAGUGGCUUACCAAGGCUUUGACGGGUAGCCGGCCUGCGAGGGUGACCGGCCACAUUGGGACUGAGAUACGGCCCAGACUCCUACGGGAGGCAGCAGUGGGGAAUAUUGCACAAUGGGCGGAAGCCUGAUGCAGCAACACCGCGUGCGGGAUGACGGCCUUCGGGUUGUAAACCGCUUUCGCCUGUGACAAAGCGUUAGUGACGGUAAUGGGUAAAGAAGCACCGGCUAACUACGUG
rnacentral:rRNA from 1 species